GAUCUGUGGUCCAGGGCCAGGAACAGAGGAUUUUGUACCCCAGGUAAUAUUAUAAAACAAUCUGAUUGGGCAGCUAAAUGAGUAUAUUAUGCAAUCUGCUAUCAGCUAAAAUAAAUGGCUUAGGUUUUCAUAGCAGUCUAUACAAGUAAAGGAACCCCUCUAUUUGUUCUCAGGAUCAUCCUAGGUCUGUUUGUUCCUGUCACUGCCCAACCUACUCUCCUGGAACAUUUUUCUCCUUACUUAUAUGUCUAUGUGUGCUUUGAAUAUUUGUCCAAAUUUAACCUAACAAAUAACAAUUGUGCAGCAAAAUCUUUAAUCCUGAAGGAGAAAGUGGAAAAGAAAAAAAAGAGGAGGAGAAGGACAAGAACUCCUCAUUCCCUUGAUGAACUUAAGAAGCAGAAGCACCAGCACUGUCUGAAAACCAAACUUUAAGAAGAAAUAGGAUUAGAUUUAUUAAAACCUUUUGAGUGUGGUAUGGGACUCAGCUUAUUCACUGGGAAUGUGCCUCAAACUCAGAAACCAAAUCCCUGUAAAUCUUACCAAUCAACUACAUUGUUAUGCUCUUUCCAUUUAGGAAGUUAAAAAAGUCGUUUAGGACACUAUCAAACCACUUUUAGGUACUUAUUUUAAAAACAUAUGGAUAAGAGUUCUAGAAAACAAGAGAAAAAUUGGAAAGAAUAAAGCAGCGUAUGUUUGUUCACAGCCUUGAGUUUGAUUCCUGUUUUGUUACUGUAGGAAAAAUGUCCUAUUUCAGAGCAGGGGGGGAUGGG
rnacentral:lncRNA from 1 species